rnacentral:rRNA from 1 species
GACGAACGCUGGCGGCGUGCUUAAUACAUGCAAGUCGAACGGAAAGGCCCUGCUUUUGUGGGGUGCUCGAGUGGCGAACGGGUGAGUAACACGUGAGUAACCUGCCCUUGACUUUGGGAUAACUUCAGGAAACUGGGGCUAAUACCGGAUAGGAGCUCCUGCUGCAUGGUGGGGGUUGGAAAGUUUCGGCGGUUGGGGAUGGACUCGCGGCUUAUCAGCUUGUUGGUGGGGUAGUGGCUUACCAAGGCUUUGACGGGUAGCCGGCCUGAGAGGGUGACCGGCCACAUUGGGACUGAGAGACGGCCCAGACUCCUACGGGAGGCAGCAGUGGGGAAUAUUGCACAAUGGGCGGAAGCCUGAUGCAGCAACGCCGCGUGCGGGAUGACGGCCUUCGGGUUGUAAACCGCUUUCGCCUGUGACGAAGCGUGAGUGACGGUAAUGGGUAAAGAAGCACCGGCUAACUACGUG